rnacentral:pre_miRNA from 13 species
UUGCCCAUUUUGGCACUAGCACAUUUUUGCUUUUGUAUAUGACUGUUGAGCAAUUAUGUGUAGUGCCAAUAUAGGAAA